CCUCAACUCAAGAACCCAUAAAAGAAAAGAAAAAGAAAAUCAAGAAUUUACCAUUCAUUGAUAACUUUGUCCUGUUCAUCUUCUCCUGCCUGGUAAUUCCUCUCUAUGGCCUGUGCUGCUGGUGGCUCCAUCUCUCUCUCUCUCUCUCUCUUCUAGAGAAGGCUUUGGAAAUGGAAUGGGCUUUGGUGAAAGAAAGAGACGUGAAG
rnacentral:misc_RNA from 1 species